rfam:Salmo salar isolate Sally breed double haploid chromosome ssa10, whole genome shotgun sequence.
UGUACGCAUGACUGUAAGUCGCUUUGGAUAAAAGCAUCCGCUAAAUGAUACAUA